CGAAGGGAGCGAGCGUUGUUCGGAAUCACUGGGCUUAAAGCGUGCGUAGGCGGACUGGAAAGUCAGAAGUGAAAUCCCGGGGCUUAACCCCGGAACUGCUUUUGAAACUUCCAGUCUAGAAACCAGAAAAGGUUGGCGGAAUAUCCAGUGUAGAGGUGAAAUUCGCAGAUAUUGGAUAGAACACCGGUGGCGAAGGCGGCCAACUGGUCUGGUAUUGACGCUGAGGUACGAAAGCGUGGGGAGCAAACAGGAUUAGAUACCCUGGUAGUCCACGCCGUAAACGAUGUAUGCUAGCUGUCAGGGCCUCAGGUCUUGGCGGCGGAGGGAAACCAUUAAGCAUACCGCCUGGGGAGUACGGCCGCAAGGUUA
rnacentral:rRNA from 1 species